rnacentral:lncRNA from 1 species
GCCUUGAGCAAGAAGAUGUCCUCUUUCUCCUCAGAAGCAGGUGUUGCAGCACCUCCACACUGUGCAGCUGAGGCUACAGCCCCAAGAAGCUCCUGGCACCGAAACCAGACUGCAAGAGCUGAGUGCGGCUGAAGAACUGGUGGAAGAGGAGGAGGAGGAGGCGAUGGAAGAGGCGGCAGCUAGCGUGGCCCUAGAGGCCAGUGAGCUAGAGCUCUCAGAGAGUGGUGAGGGCAGUGUGGCUGCAGCUGGCCUUGUCCCUGACUCUUGCUCUGGAUUAGGUCCUGGAUUGGUACUUUGCCUACACAGAGCCUGCUCAGGACUCACUAGCAGUCAGGCAGGCAGCCCUUGCUUUUGUGGAGGUGGACAAAGGGCUGGAAGCCUACAGGGAGGCUCUACAGGGCCAGAGCCUGGGGAGAUAGUCCAGUAGAGGCCUGUGUUGCACAUCUAGGCAGGGUGAGGUAGGGUGCAUCUCAGGGCCUUGCUGCUUCAUGCCAGAGCGAAGCACAUUCCUGGAACCCUCCAGAGGCUGGUGUGGUCAGCUGUGCAGAGGGUGGGUGUGAAGGACUGACUAGAGCAGAUCGGAAAGACUGACUUGAAAACUUCAGGGGCCUCUAGGACCACAAGUGAGUAACCCAGCAGCCAUGGGAAGUUGGGCCAGGUCUUAGAGGAAGGUCAGGUUGGACAUUGCUGGUGUGUGAGCGGUGUGGGAAGAGGUGACCAAGGACUAAAACAUAAGGGAGAACCAUUCAACAGGUAGGCAACAGAAGAUAGUGUAGAAAGAGCAGUGGCAGCAGGGAAGGAACACAAGAGAAUCUUUGAGUAUCACCAGGACCAGGAGUGGGUGGAAAGUGAGAACAGGCAGGGUACACGGCCUAACAAAGAUAUUUGAGAGGGUGGCAGAAGGUCUGGAUGGAGACUGCCCUGUAGAGCAGAGCCUGGGGGCAGGGGUGAGUGGACAGUUCCACUGAGGGAGGGCUGCAUCCCCUGUUGGCAGAGGAAUAAUGGGGCCUUGGCAGGUGAGGGGUAGCCUAGGAGCAGGGUUUGGCCCCACAGGUCUGAAUUCUGCUCUCCUGCUUAUGGCUGCUGCUGCCUCAGAGGUCAGAGGAGCCUGGGCAGGGCAGGGGUAUGUUUCUACUGCUGGCUUCUCACAGGCUCAGUCAGUUGGCUCAACUCUUCCAGAGGAUGAUGCUGACAGCCUGGCCUGGCAGCUGGAGGAGGAUGAGGAGUUUCAGGGUUGCCUAGGCCGGCGGAAGGUGAACAGGGUAAGGACCAUGUGCCCCAGUCCCUCCUGUCCUGGCAGCCGUACCCAUCCCUCACACCUCUGCCCCAAGUCAAGGCUACUCUGCCCACAGUGGAACCGUCGCAAUGAUAUGGGGGAGACCCUGCUGCACCGAGCCUGCAUUGAGGGCCAUUUGCGCCGUGUCCAGGACCUUGUGAGGCAGGUAAGCUAUCACGCCAACAGACUGCUUGACCCUAGCUCCAUUAGGGAGGAGCUAUGGGCAUAUUUAGAAUGGGCCCUAAGAUGCCAAGCAGAAUCUGGAUUGGCCUGGCCAGGAUGGGGACUGUUUUACAGACCAGAACCCUGGUGCCCUCCCUCCUACCUCAGGCCCUUCAGCUAGGCACUGUGCCUGCCCCAGGGCACCAAGUGACAUAGGCUAGAGGGUGUGCUGUGGCUGCUCAGCCAGCCUUAUUGGGCAGAAGUGGUACCCCCAUUGAGGAGACCUCAGGCAGUGGAGGAGAGGGCCAGAGCCAGGCUGCAAAGCACACAGGGCCAGGCUCCUUCCUGUCCUUGGUCACAGGGCCACCCCCUGAAUCCUCGGGACUACUGUGGCUGGACACCUCUACAUGAAGCCUGCAACUUUGGACACCUGGGUGAGCAGGGGAUGGGCAAGUCCUGGUGCACAACACGGGGUUUAGAGAGCGGGGAGGGGCUGAGCAGACAUUGGGAGCUGGGCUUAUGUCCCUACCUGCAGAGAUCGUCCGCUUCCUGCUGGACCAUGGGGCUGCAGUGGAUGAUCCAGGUGGCCAGGGGUGUGAGGGCAUUACCCCUCUACAUGACGCCCUUACCUGUGGCCACUUUGAGGUGGCUGAGCUGCUUAUUGAGCGAGGGGCAUCUGUCACCCUCCGAACCAGGAAGGUGAGCUGGAGUAGUGGUGGUGGGUGGGAGGGUGGGUGGGAGCUGCUCUGUUCCCUGCUCAUCUGGGUGCUACACAGGGCCAUAGCCCACUGGAGACACUGCAGCAGUGGGUGAAGUUGUACUGCAGGGACCUAGACCUUGAGACGCGACAGAAGGCAGCAGCCAUGGAGAGGAGGCUCCAGGCGGCUUCUUCAGGCUCAGGCAAGUGGGGCCUUCUUCACCUGCGGAAUUGCCCUGGGCUCUGGGCCCUGACUAACACUCCAGCAUAGGGGGCAGAGAGAGAGUCUGGUAACUGUCUCAUGAUGCAUUCUCCCUCCUACAGCCUCCCCAGCCUCCUGGACCAUCCCAAGUAACCACCUGUUUGAUCCUGAGACCUCUCCUCCCUCAAGCCCCUGCCCAGAACCCCCUUGGCACACUCCUAGGUCCUCAGAGGCCUCUCUAGCCUGCACCAGGGUUUCCCCACAGCAGGCUGCAUCAGUUGUGGCAAGGCCUCGAAGGAGCAGGCAUAGGUUGGCCAGCAGCAGCAGCUCAGAGGGGGAGGACAGUGCUGGGCCCCAAAUGCCAUCCCAGAAGAGGCCAAGGUGCUUUGCCCCAGCACAACGGGAUGAGGCCAGGACAGCUUGCCCUGCCAGCAUCAGGGAGGCGAGUACAGUGAGUGCUGGCCAGGCAGCCUAUCAGGCAGCCAUCCGAGGUGUGGGCAGUGCCCAGAGCCGCUGCCUCAGGCAGGGCCCUUGGGGCCCAGGUGAAGCCCCUACACCCCAGACAGCACUCAUUCCGGAGGAGGAAUACCUGGCUGGAGACUGGCUGGAAUUGGACACACCCCUGCCCCGCAGCCGCCCAUUCCGCCUGCCCCGCCCCCAGGGCAGUGGGGACAGCAACAGGCCCAGUACUGUAGGGCCAGACGAUGAGGAACACCCUGCCAGGCCCCGAACCCGGACCAGGCAGAGCCGCCUGACCUGUCUUGAGAGUUGCAGCACACUGGACAGAGCUGGAGGCAGCAGCUUGGCUGCAGAGCUCUCAGAGAAUCCCAAUGUGCUCAGGGUCCCUGGGGAAAGCCCUGCAACAGGCCAGCCCUCGGUGGGUGACAAGCUGGUAGCAGAGCUAACCCCCAGCUUGGGCAGGUGGAGAUGGAGGCCUCUGUCUUUCCUGACUGCCCUGUCCCCUGUUCCUCCUAUCAGGGUCUAGUACAGCCUCCUCCCAUCCGGAUUCGAGUUCAAGUUCAGGAUAACCUUUUCCUUGUCCCUGUCCCACACAGGUAUGGUGACAUCUACCCUCUCUGAACCCCAGUCCCCCCUGCCCACCAUGCAGCCCCUUGCCUGAACCCUCAGUGGUAGCACCGUACACAGUUCCUUUGUGAUGACUGCCUCGGUGGCGUGUCCCUACUGUUCCCUAGGGUCCCUGAGUGAAUGUGGCCUGGGCAGUCCUAUAGUCCCUAGGAGUCGUCUGAGGAGCAGGCUGCAGGGACAGAAGGCUGCUGUUCAGGGGAGGGGUGGGAAAGCCACCAGGAGAGAGGGCUGCAGGCCUCAGCAGUGUUGGCAGAGCCCUAGGCCACCUCCUGGAUGCAGCAGCCCACCCUCCCCCAACAGUGAGGCCCACUCUGUGGCUUGGCUGGCUGAGCAGGCCUCCCAGCGAUACUACCAGACCUGUGGGCUCCUGCCCAGACUCAGCCUGCGGAAGGAGGGCGCGUUGCUGGCCCCGCAGGACUCCAUCCCUGAUGUGCUGCAGAGCAACGAUGAGGUAAGCCACAGCCGUGGGCACAGACCACCCCCAGGAGCUGCCUCUCCAGGCUGCUCACCAAUGGAGCUCACCAACGGUGCUCUUCAGGUGUUGGCUGAAGUGACUUCAUGGGACCUGCCCCCACUUAUCGACCGCUACCGCAGGGCCUGCCAGAGCCUGGGACAAGGUAAGGGCUCCAAGAGCCUGGCUUUAGGUGAAGCCCUGAGCAGAGGUGUUUGGUAUGCAGGCCCCAUCUUCCAGUUGCCAUUUCCAGUUCUGUGGUGCACCCUUCCCUGCCUAACCCUUGCCCCCACGAGUGGGUGACAGGUGGGGGCAGACAACCCUGAGCUGAGGAACGGAGCUGCCAGGAACCUUGUUGGGGGAUGGAGAUGUGAGAGUGGCCCACCUAUGCAGAUACUCAUGGCACUGAAUCCCAGGCUUGUAGGAAUAGACUCAGCUUUAACUCCUGGGGCUGCCUGGUUUGUCCACAGAACUCCAAAGGCAAGAUGUAGGCACUGGCCCUAGUAACCCCAUGUCUCCCUCAUCAGGGGAACACCAACAGGUGCUGCAGGCCAUGGAGCACCAGGGCUCAAGCCCCUCCUUCAGUGCCUGCUCCCUGGCCCUGAGCCAGGCCCAGCUCACACCCCUGCUUCGAGCCCUCAAGCUACACACAACGCUCCGGGAGCUGCACCUGGCAGGGAAUCGGCUCGGGGAUGGAUGUGCCAGUGAGCUGCUGGCUGCUCUGAGCACCAUGCCCAGCCUGGUCCUCCUUGAUCUUUCGUCUAAUCACCUGGGCCAGGAAAGUCUACGCCAACUUGCCGGGGGCCCUCAAGGCCAGGCCACCUUGCAGGUAGAGCCUAGGGUGCAGCAGGCCAGCAACUCUAGUAACAGGUUGCAACAGCUGGGAGAACUGGCCAAUGCCCAGCCGGGAACAGGGAUCCUGCAAGGAGACUAGACCUGAGGGGACUGGGCCCAUGGAUGUCAAGGGGCUCAGUGCUCACCAUGUUUUCCACAGAACUUGGAAGAGCUGGACUUAAGCAUGAACCCUCUAGGAGACAGUUGUGGUCAGGCCCUGGCUUCCCUCCUGCGGGCCUGCCCCUUACUCAGCACUCUGCGCCUGAAGGCUUGUGGCUUUGGUCCCAGCCUCUUCCUGAGCCACCAGGCAGCCCUGGGCAGUGCCUUCCAAGGUGAGCUGACCAGGCAGGUCUAAUCCCUGAGCCAGGUGUGGAGGCAUUAAGGGUCUUGGGCAUAAGGACCAAGAUGGGAUUUGCUUGGGAUUUCAAGCCUGGCUUCUUCAGGAGGAGCUAACUCCUCUGAACGCACAGGUAGACGUGUGAGUGCUGGACCUGUCUGGGCUGUGCUCCCAGACCACAGCACACUACAGGCAGGAUCCCAGGCAGGCCAUCUCUGCCCUGAACCCCACCACAUGCCUAUGGCUAGAGCCUUCUGCGUGCCUCAGUUCUGCCAUGAGCAUAACUGGCAGCCCUAGUGCCAAGAGGCUGGGAAUAGAGCCACCUAGGGAUCCCUGGGGCAGGGGCUAUGUUGGGCAACAGUGGUGUGAGUUCCUCCUGAUCCCCCCACAGAUAUGCUGGCCCAGGGCCCAUCUCCAGCAGCCAGGGAUUGGUGGGUGGGGAAGGCUGGGCUCAAGAGAACUUGGGCAAGAGCCGUUGCCAAUAAACCUGUUUCCCCCACAAAAUUAAUGGAGAAGAGCCUCUCCAAAAGGGGUCAUAAGUGUUCUAGGCCCAGAACUCAGGGUGGAGGGUGGGUAGGAUGGUGGCCACAUGAGGCCUACAAAUUCUGGUCCUGGUACAGAUGCUGAGCGCUUGAAGACCCUGUCCUUAUCCUACAAUGCCCUGGGUGCCAUUGCCCUGACCAAGGCCCUGCAAAGCCUGCCCACCUGUACUCUUUUGCACCUAGAACUUGGCUCCGUGGCAACCAGCAAGAGUGACUUGGGCUUCAUGGAGCCCAUUGUCAGGUACCUGGCCAAGGUAUGAGGUGGACAAAAGCCAGAACAUGAGGCUUCAGAGACCAAAGGUUCCCAUAGCUGUGACCUUUGGGAGGUUGGAGGGAUUGAUUUGGGACAACAGCUGCAGGACACCUGUAUAGACACCUGCCUCAGGCUAUGAAUUCCUGGCCACCAUAAAGGACAUCUGGGAUUUGGGAUGGCCUCUCUACCCCAAACAGUUCCCAAGGAACACACCAAGCCCCUGUGUUUUCUCCCAGGGACUUUUCCAGCUGGGGCCGAGUCCUUGUGGUUUUCACAUCACAAGGAGCCAAGCAUGACUUACACCAGGAAGGAGAAGAAUUUUCUUCUCACUUCCAAGUUCAGGGGCUUCCUGGGUGUGGGGACCUCUGCCAGGACGGAGGGAGGACCAGUGCCCACUGGGCUUGGCUCCCUCCCUGUGCUUAUGUCCAGGAAGACUGUGCUCUGGUCCACCUGACCCUGUCUGCAAAUUACCUGAAUGACAAAGCUGUGAGAGAACUAAGCAGGUGAUGCCCCUGCCCUGUUGCCUGUUGGGGGUCUCAGCCUGAAGACCUGGGACCCUGUUCCUCUGACAUUCACCCUGUCUUUAGGGCUGGCCUGGCAAGCAUGCUAAAGGUUUUUUUUUUUUUUUUUUUUUUUUACCAUACUCUUGUGACUCUUGAGAGCUUUCCUUCUUAUAUGGCCUUUCUUGGCACACCUCUGUGCAUCAGUCCAUGUCCCUGGAGACUUGGCUGGCUCUAAGGGGAGCGACAAGAGGUGUGCGAGUUUGGCAGUCUCGACCUCUAGGUAGUGCUGCCAACCUUCCCUAUGCUGUGUUGGGCCACAGCCUGCUGGGCCUGGCCUAUGGCUCCCAAAGCUAGGGUUUGUAGGGCAACUUUCCCUAGAGAUUGAGUGAGGGCUUCUGUGGAAGCUAAUCCCUGAACUUCCCACACUGUAUCAGGUGCCUGCCUCUCUGCCGCUCACUCAUCUCUCUGGACCUGUCUGCCAACCCUGAAAUCAGCUGUGCCAGCCUGCAGGAGCUCCUGUCUGCCCUCCAGCAGAGGCCCCAAGGCCUCCACUUCCUUGGCCUUUCAGGUGAGGGCUGAGUAUGGUGGCCACCUCUGCCACGCUUUCACAGGCUGAGGCUCAGGGAACUUCUCCUAAGAAGCCAGUAUGAUGAAAGACAGUGUGGAGCAUGACAAGAAAGGGACAGGGGAGACUGGGGUCUUCGCCUCUGCCCAAUCCAGCCUAACCCUCAAGUGUAGACAAUAACAGAAAGGCUCCUCAUCCACAGGGAUCUCCUCAUUCUUGAUGGCAGGAAGAGGAAACCCAGGGUCCAGGUUCAGUGCCACAAUGGGACCCGCCCACCUUCUGGCAGGGGUUGCUUUGACCCUCUCUGUCCUGGCUGUGACAAUGUAGCUUAUUCUGCAACACCAGGGCAGCCCCCACCUGUGUUGUCUGAAGGACAACUCCAAAAGAGGGGCAUUUGGUGAACUGGCCCACCAGCAGCCUGGCAUCCCUAGCUGAGGCCUGGGCAGAAAGGCAGGCUUUGCCCUUCAGGGGACAUAGGCUUGUGCACAAGGGAACCCCUGAGUUCUUCCUGGGCUUUUCACUUCCUGCUUCCACACCUGGCUGGAUUCCUGGCACCUGCGACAUCACGCAGCUUCCCCAGGUUCUGAGGCUACUGGGCUUUCUGGCCAGAGGACCAAGCUCUGAGCCCUCAGGCCCACGACAUAGAGCUCUCCUAAAAAUUCAUUCUAUGGGUGGGUGGGCCAAAGUGUAGGCAUGCUGUACAGUCGGGGUGGGGGUGGGGGUGGCGUCCACCAGUGGGCCCAUCUGCCUGACCAUGGGCCAGGCACGGCUCCUUCCCGCGAUGAAGCAGGACUUUUUUGCCCUCCAGGCUGCACUGUCCAGGGUCCCCUGGGCCCGGGUCUCUGGGACAAAAUCACCAUGCAGCUGCGGGAGCUCCAACUAUGUAGCAGAGGCCUGUGUGCCGAGGACCACGAUGCCCUGCGCCAGCGGCUGCAGAGUCCCAGCUCAUGCACUCUGACCCGGGGCCCCCAGCUCUUCUUCCGGGACUUCUGACCCUGCCCGUCCCCUGCCCAGAAGCCUCAAUAAACGUCUUUGCUG